GAGAGAAAUUGAUAUUGGGGCUUUUGACUGGCCUGUUCUGGCCCAUCCUGUAUACUAGGAGUGAUGUAGAACUCCAGGGGCACUGCUGGGUGAGGAGGGAGAAGUGUGUAGUCCUGGACAGGGAACCCAUCUGAGGCCUUGUGCAUGGGAAGCAGGUGAUGAACCAGUGUGCUCACCCCAUACACUCCAGUGAGGAUUACAAUGUCUGUCAUGGUCGUUUUCAGAGUAUAACUUGUGGCCUCCUCUCUGUUCAGACUCACCUGCUGAUCCAGAGUCCCCCCACGAGUGUGUGCCUGUCACCCAUUCCUCUGUGAUUGGAGAGUUCCAGAGUCUGAGCACCCACUUGCUUCUCUGGUUUGGUGCUGUGUGGCAGGAGACCUGGAGCUAUGCUCAGUCCCACCUAUGACUCCAGCGAGGGUUUGAAAACACUCGUGGGACUUUUCAGACGGUUCUUUGAGCUCUGCCUUAUCAGGAACCUAAGUAAAACGGGGCCAUGGACCAUGGAGAAGAAUGUGGGGUUCAGAGGGUCAUUCCUGUUCCUUCUCUUCCCAUGCACCCCUCAACUUCUACCCGUUGCUUUGUGUUUGCUUCCUGUCUUGUUCUCCUUACAUAUCUGAGACUCAGUUUCUACCUCUGUGGAAUGAGGCUAGCUAUCCUCCAUCCAUAGGAUUCUGGGAGAAAAGAAUGUCCCAGAACCUGUUACCUAACACCCAGCACCCAGCACUCCCAGAUGACUAAUACAUUAUUUCUAGGUGACCAUCUCUUUUCUUUCUUGUCUGUUCUUGAUAUCUGGCUGUCUCUGUGUGUCACUGGCACCAACAGAGGUCCCAGUGGGUCCAACAACUAGGGUGGGGUCUUUAAAAUUCAUUACCAGGUUUACAGGCAGUGCCCUCUCUGUGCUGAUAUCUGUGGAUUCUGGCAUGAGCAUAUAUGUGAAUGUGUGUGUGUGUGUGUGUGUGUGUGUGUGUGUGUGUGUGUGACUGUAUAUGUGACAGUGGGCAUGUGAGUGUAUAUGUGUUUGUAUACAUGUGUGUAUAUGUUUGUCUAAGAGUAUGUGUGUGCGUGUGUGCCUGAGCAUGUGAAUGUGUGAGAGUGUGUGAGCAUGCAUGUUAGUGUAUGUGUGAGUGUGUAUGUGUGUGUGAGUAUGUGAGUGUGUAUGAGACUUUCGUGAGUGUGUGAGUACAUGUGUGAAUGUGUGUGUGUGUAUGAGAGUGUUUGUAUGUGUUUGAGUGUAGUGUGUGACUAUGUGGAACUGUGUUUGUGUGAGUGUGUGUGUGUGUAUGUAAAUGUGUGUGUGUAUGAGAGAGAGAGAGAGAGGCAGAGAGAGAGAGGCAGAGAGAGAGAGGCAGAGAGAGAGAGACUUGCUUCCUGAGGACACUUCUUUAGGAUCCACAGACAGCGACGGAGGGAAUUGCUGUAGACAGAGGAAGGAGCUGGUCUGAGGCCCUCUCCCUUGCAGCAGGAGCAGGAGCCCACUUCCACCAGGGCAGUGACUCACCCUGUAUUAAUUGUGCUGCAAUUAUCCCGAGCUUCCUCUCCUGUCUGGUUCAUUUGACCUGCACAGCUGUCUAAUAGAGAUGGCUGUUGUGAUUUCUUAGUUAAUGUGGUUCAUUAUUUCCAGCACUGCCUUCAGUGGCUGGGAUUUCUUUCUCCCUCAGCUCUGACUUGGAGGGUUUCAUGAGUUGUGUCUUCAGCAGGGCCUCUGGUGCUGCCUGCAUUGUCUGUGGGAGAAAUUUCAUUUGCAAAUCAGAAGGAGUUCACAGAGUGUGUCGCAGUGUUGCUUCACCAGACUCCGUUUUCAUCUUCCGGAGCCUCUCCCCAGUCACCUCCGCGUGCCUUGGUUGAGGAAGGAAAAGUCCCUAUCUCCCAGGCCUCCAUGAGAGCCACGCAGAUGAGCAGUAGGCGGGAAUUUGUUUGUGUCUUAGUGCUGCUAAUUAUCUGCAGAGGGCUGCAGAGCAAAAGCUUCUCUUCUCUUGGCAACUCGCCUCAUGCUGGGUCAGGCCACAGAGACCCAGACAUUGGGAGCCCUUGAAGCUUCUGAUGUCAAAUGUCUUUAUGAAAUUACAAAAAACCACACCAGCUCACCUGAAACUUUCUAUUCCCUUCAAAACCCAACCCAGCCUUGGAUGGCUGAGGGAAAUUUGUGAGGCUUUGUAAGAUGAGGUCAAAUGGUCUAAAGUUCUAAAUUCUUGGUCAGUAACUAUUCCACUGAGGUACUGGCCAGGGAGAUGGGGUCAUUAAGAAGGAGAAUUAAAAAGCUCUCUCAUCUUGGAGUUCUUUUUCCAGGAUGGUCACCAGCGUAGAUGUAGAGAAAACACUAGGAUCCUCAGAAACAAAGACACGAGUGGUGGUUACCAGAAGACCCGAGGAGGGAGGAGAGCCGCUCCUCCAUGAUGACCCAACAGGGUUAUCCCUCAGUGCUUUGGGUGGGCCAUUACUUCCAGGAUGAACGCUAAGGUCAUCUAUUCCUUUCCUUUCUCAUUGGUGUGAUAAUGAACGUACUUGAGAAAGGUAACUCAAAGAAGGAAGGCUUUAUUUCAUCUCGUAGUUUGAGGGUACAGUCCCUCGUGGCGGAGGAGCGCGGCAGCAGAGGCCUGAGGUAGCUGGUCUCGCUGCAGCCCCAGUGAGGAAGCUGAGAGAUCUUACACCUGGUGCUCAGGUCUGUUAGCCAUUCCACAUGGUCUCAGACCCUUACUCAUGGAAUGGUGCCACCCAUGUUUUAGGGUGAGUCUUCCCGUCUUAAUUAACUCAAGCUAGAGAUACACCUACAGGCUUGUUUCCCAGUGAUGCUAGAGUCUCUCAGGUUGACGACCAGUGCCAACUGUUGGAGGUGGAGGCACAUAGAGGCUGACUCAUAGGAACUCUCAAUCCAUUCUUCCUCCUGUGUGUAGCUUCUUCAGAGGAGUAGGGGCUGUGUUCUCCUCCCCAAUUCAUUUGAGCUACUGCUCACCUGGGUGGUUCCUGCCACUUCCUCUGUCAUACCUGGGAGAACCGCAUCUCUCUGACAGAAAUAAUGAGGGCUGCUUAUGUAUUCCUACUGGUAAGACUUUGAGAGGGGGAAUAACCCUUGUAUGUUGGGCAUUUCGAAUCUGAGCUUCUGCCCUGUGCUCCAGGUUAAGACAACUAUCGGAGAGAGCAGAAGUCAGUUGCAGGUCUCACCAUGUUGCUCUCAAUCUGGGUAGCACCUAUAUGGUGCUUAUGAGGAAGGGGUUGUGUAGUGACUUUUUACCUAUUACUUGGAUUUUGAAGACUAGGGAUACCCAUUCUGGGAACAGGCAUCGCCAGGAAACCUUGAAUAUAGUCUUUAUAGCUUAGGGUCAAUGCUACCAAGUGUCAUUUAGACUUACUUAACAAGGAGAGCUAGAGGAAAGUCAGACCUGUGCCUUUCAUUGGGUCUUAAGAAAUGAACAAGUAAAGGUUGUUUGAGGCACCCUCUCCCAUGCAAUUGUUGAAAGGAGAAAUAAAUAUACAAACGUCAAGGCACACAGCGUAGCUGACACAGACAGUUAGGCCUUAGCUCGUCUUCUUAGCUCUUAUGUAUAUAUGGGGUUGUGGAGGAGGGUAUGAUCACAUGAGCAUAGUGCCUUAUGAAUCCAGAGGAAGCUGCCAGGUUCCCUGGAGCUGGGGCUACAGGUGACGUGAGACAGGGACUCGGGGCCUCUGGAGGGCAAGUAGGAGAUCUGAACCACUGAGCCAUUUCUCCAGCACAAAGACCAUGGCUCCCUAAACUCUCUCGUGACCUCUGCGUGAGGUUACAAAGCUGAAUGGUGGAAGGGGUGGUUAUGAAAAGUUUGGCCUUGCUAAAAGGUUUCUAAAUGGACAACAAUUAAAAUUUAAUUCCAAACCAAUGUAUAACGAAUCCAAGGUUCCCAUACAGCACCCUCACUUGGCAACGCAACUCCACAUACGCCAGGGAGUGCUGCUCCAGACACCUCACCUCGGCUGUGAGACUGUUGUGCGCUGUGAAGGACCCUGUUUCUAGCCUCACGGAAACGUAACUACUGAGCCACUGUCCUACUCUCACCUCUCACAUGGAGAAGUAUAAAAUUGCAGUAUCCUUCAACUAUGGCGAGUGUUGAAUAUGUUUUAUGUCCUGGUGAGUGUUGAAUAUGUUUUAUGUCCUGCUCUAUUAAGUAUUCAGCGAGGAUCGAAUUCUUUCUAUAAAGGUGUUUGAUUUGUACAGAUAUAUAUACAUACACAUACCCAGGGCUGUGUAAAAACGUCUCAGGCAAAAAGCGUUUGCAAAUGAGAAAGGAUUAAAGGGCCAUCCUUCAGAGUGUCUGGAAUCAGACCCUCUUAGCUGUGAGAAAAUGACCUAAAGAAAAUGACCAUGGAGUACUGGCUGUGGAGUACCGGCUGUGUCCCUUUGCUGUCUGACAAAUGGUCACCGGGUGGAGCAGAAGACGUACCCAACAGCAGAAAUAGAAGGCUGACGCUUCCUGGCAAUUCAAACCUGGAAUUCCAGAUACUCAGGAAGCUGAGGCAGGAGGAUUGCAAACAACUUCAGGUCCUGCCUGGGCUACAGGGUGAGUUCAGCACCACCUGGGAGACCUCUCCAAAUAAAAAGAGGCUGGGAUCCAGCUCAGUGUUAGAAUUUCAAGUACAUGAGGCCUUGGGUUCGAUACCCUGUACCGAGGGUGUUGGGAGAAGUAUUGGUCAUGUACCCUGACAGGCGCCGUGAAGAGAAAAUGGCAUCCUAAGGCACACUGUCAAGAAAGGCUUUAAGGGAAGAAUAAGCUUCAGGGUGACCUUUGAGCAAUGAUCGGGUUUCCUUUGUCCAGUGUUUAAUUUAUAAAUGUAAAUUUUUUAUGAUAUUUAUAACUUAUAAAAUCAGAGAACCAAUAUACCUUCUCUAUAGAAAUGAUUGUGAAGUACAAAGAAGAAAAUUAAAGUGGUGCCCCAAAACAAAAUACAAGUAGCAUUUAGUAAGCACUUCUUCCUAGCCUUUUGUCUAUGUAAUAUAUCCGUCUGCUUUCCCACAGAAGUAGGCUUAUACUCAGUGACUACCCUUGAGGGCUGCUCGCUUCAUAAGGCCUUUCUACAAAUCACGAAGUAGUGAUUUGCAAAAAGACAUGACUUGUAAAGUCACAGUUGUUCCUCGGCACUUGACAAAAACAGCUAACACGGAUACCGUGAAAGUAAGAUUUACCUUGACCCAGUUUGAGAGACGGCUGGACCCGUUGCUUUGAACCUUGUGUGAGGUUGAGUAUCUGAGACAGGGGGAGCAUGAUGUCCUAGAUGCUGCUCAACUGAUGAUGGCCAGGAAGCAGCUAAGAAUAAACCAACCACUUAGCUUCUCCACCAGGCUCCAGCUCUGAAAGUCUCCACCAUCCCCCGAUGACGAGGUCAGUUUAGGAAUCCACUCAUUAAUUCAGAGUGGAUGUGUCCCUUCAUUAGACCACAGCCCUCUUGGUCCAUGCUGCUCCUGGAGGGGUCCUCACAGACAUGCCCAGAAUGCUUUACCAAUCUCCUAGGUAUUUCUCAGUAACAAUAGAAAAUUGGCAUGAGAUUAGCCGGCAACACCAGCAUCACCCAAGACCCCAAUUUCAGAAACGGACUUGAGAAGGAAACUCCCCAAACCUGUUUGGACUGGCCCUCCUGUAUCAAUUUCGGUUAUUAACAUAUCUGUAAUAGAUUCAGGUGUUACAAAAUGGACCUACCAAACAUGGUUGGAUGAGGAAAUAUCAGGCCUUCCCCAUGGUCCCUUCCACACUUUCAUUCUAGCCUACUGUAUGCGUGUCCAAUAACAUAUGUAACUGUUUGUUGCUAUUUUCUCCGUAUUAAGAAUAAUGGCUGAUGCUUGUUAUUACGCAUCUGUGAAAGGCUUUUCCUCUGCAUGGUGCCUGAGACCUGUAUGUCAGCCGGUGUCCCAGGAGGAGCCGUGGAUGUGAGCAAGUGUAUGUGGGAAGAAACCAUAGCAACGCAUGAAGAGCGGGGAUACUGCCCCCCUGGAGAGGAGCUGAAUUUAGAGGGUGUUGGGGAUGAAGAGGUGAAUGGAGACAGGCUGCAGAGGAUUCCGGCUGUCUGAGAGGCAAACAUUGAAUCAGGAAAUAAUGGGGACCACUGGUGGGGUUUGAACAUGCUAUGGACAAGCUAGGUAAAUGUUCUACGUGAAGUGUCUUAGCUGUGGGUAGAGUGGUAGUGGGAUGGAAAAGAAGCAAGAUUCUAGGAGAGGAGUUAGGAGCCUUUGGUAGCAAGACUCCCAGUAAGGAGAGGUGAGCGAGGGCAGUGACACCCUCAGAGGAUUCAGGCAGCUGGGAAUGAAGGGAGAGGAUGACCACAGAAGUUACACAGGAGCAGGGCUAGCAAAGACUGAGUGAUCAAGAGUGACCGAGGAAGUGAGGGAAGCAGGAAGACGCUGAGGUGAAGCGGGGGUCCAUUUGUGUGAGCCUGUGAUACGGCUGGAGACAGUCAAGCCAGAAGCCAGACAGAUGUUCUGUCUCUGGUCAGGAAACCACUAACAGGACAGAGUCCUUAGAAACAACAUGUCCCAGAACCCUUGUCUGAAAGCUACGGUUCAUCCUGAGGCAAGCUCCUUCCUGUUGAUAGACACAGAGGUUUGGCAUUAUUUGUGGAUUGGGUUAUAGCAGGGGAAAAACAAACACACAAACAGAAGCCAGACUUCUUAUUUAGACACUCAAACUUGGUUCCUAUUAGGCCAGAUUGAAUAUGAAGAGGCAGCACCCCUUUUUUGUCCUUUUUUGUUGUUGUUUCAAGUAACAGGCCAAAGUUCUCUCUCUCUCUCUCUCUCUCUCUCUCUCUCUCUCUCUCUCUCUCUCCCUCCCUCCCUCCCUCCCUCUCUCCCUCUCUCUCUGUCUCUCCCUCUUUCUCUCUCUUUCUGUCUGUCUAUCUCUGUCUCUGUCUCUCUGUCUCUCUCUCUGUGUCUCUCCCUCCCUCCCUCUCUCUGUCUCUGUCUGUCUCUGUCUGUCUCUCCCUCCCUCCCUCCCUCCCUUCUCUCUCUGUCUCUGUCUGUCUCUCUCUCCCUCCCUCUCUGUCUGUCUCUGUCUGUCUCUCCCUCCC